rnacentral:rRNA from 1 species
AACUAACGCUGGCGGCGUGCCUAACACAUGCAAGUCGAACGAGAAAGUUGGCUUCGGCCGAUGAGUAAAGUGGCGCACGGGUGAGUAACGCGUGGAUAAUCUGCCCUUUAGUUUGGAAUAACGUACCGAAAGGUGCGCUAAUACCGGAUAAUACUGAAUGACUACUGUUGUUUAGUCAAAGAAGGCUUCUGUUUACAUGCUUUUGCUGAAGGAUGAGUCCGCGUACCAUUAGCUAGUUGGUAGGGUAAUGGCCUACCAAGGCGACGAUGGUUAGCUGGUCUGAGAGGAUGAUCAGCCACACUGGAACUGAGACACGGUCCAGACUCCUACGGGAGGCAGCAGUGAGGAAUAUUGCGCAAUGGGGGGCGAACCCUGACGCAGCAACGCCGCGUGAGUGAGGAAGGUUUUCGGACCGUAAAGCUCUGUCGAGCGGGAAGAAAUGCAUGGUGGCUAAUAUCCAUCAUGCUUGACGGUACCGCUAAAGGAAGCACCGGCU